UCUGUGUUUACUGUGUGGGGUUGUAGUACAUUUCACUCUUUUUCCCCAUUGAUUCCUCUGAGUUGUCCAGGCAGGCUAAAGAAUUCAGCUAGUACUUCUGGUCCAUAGAAUCUUGCUCCCUCUGACCCAGUCCACUAUGGGGGUACAUCUCUGUUAUGUACUGUCCUAUAAUAACCCUACCUCACAUGUACAAAAGUAGCUGCCUGGGGACAGAAAGACCACGCAACAAAAAACACCCCCAAAUCCUCGGACUUCAACUCUGGCCUGGUUGAGGUCCAAUUAUAGCCUACUGGGGCAGUUUUGUGAUGUUACAUUGAUCAAAAGUUAGCCUAAAUCCAUCCCCCAUCUCCCUGGAGGUGUCUUCUGUUCCCUCCCUCUUCCUCCGCUUGUCUGUUCGGCUCAACACAGCCUGGAUCAGUGGCAGGUUUCUGAGGAGACACUACACAGCUCUGGGAUCCAGUUUGAAGUCAGUAUUAAUUUAGCUUCUUGUGUGAUGGAUAAGUGUUUGAUGACACUCCCAGUCCUGCUGCUGUUCCUGGGCCUGGUUGGGUUAUCCCGCUCCUGUCUGAAUCCCGUCUCUGCAUACAGAUUCACUGGGGCUGUCUGUAGGCUGACCUACUCUGCAGCAGUGGUCUUAAAUGAGAAGACCACCAAGGUGAUCCAGGCUGAUCCAGGCUGUUCAAGCAUGAACAGUGAGAAGUCUAUUCUCUUAGUUGGAAAGGUUAAAUACCAAGUGAGUGGACCUCUCUCCUUCCACAGUCAGCACACCAGCACCACAUUCUGGAGAUCCAUAACCUGUCGAUUCGGCGGAGUGAGUUUGAGCUGAAGCCAGGUAAAGGCAUUGAGAUUGCUAUCGCCAAAGCGUCUGCUGUUUCCAAGGGAACCAUCCAGUAUGAAAAAGUUGGCUGUGAGUCCUUCCAUCAAUCACUGUAACCGGGGAGGAUGACACUGAGCAGGAAAUCAGUUUAUGUUCAGAUUGUUAAUAUACAUUUCUGUGAGUUUUAAUGUUAUGUUGUAUUUUAACCAAAUAUCCUGGUAUGUAGACUACUACUAAGGCUUGUAUGUUGACCUUAGAUAACUGUGUGCUGGUGACACUGCCAUGUGUCACUGUUUGCAGUCUCAACGUGGGACAUUCAGUAGAUUUUGAAAUUGCGUCACAUAUUGAUCUUGGCAUUAACCCCAAACUUUAUUGUGGAAAAGAGAAUGUUGCCGCAGACACCUCAGGCUGUUACCUUACCAUCCACAAGCUCAAUCUCCUGCUGCUGGGAGACAAAACCUGGCUGGCGGAAGAGGCUGUUUACAGACUUUAUCACCUUCACAGUGAAGUUGGUUAUUAAAAGCCAGGGAGCGGGAGCUUCGUGUCACGCAACUUGGGUCGAGAUCUGUUUCUUGCUUUGCUCUUCGGAACAGGGCACAAUUGAAAGGAGUGAUUUCUAGGUAAGCAUUAAGUGUGGAGGUGGAGCAAUUGAAGUUAAAGAUUCCUGGUAUUUGUGAUGCCCGCUGUUUGGUGAGAUGCAGACCUGGUGGUGAGCGUGGUGAAACAGAGCAGUCAUUGUCAGUCCUUUUGAGUUUUGAGUCUUUACCUUACCGGAGCUUUUGUGCCGAACCCACUGUGGUGUUUCAGGUGUUAUGUUUAUGAUCAUGUUGCAGCAGUUUGUAGGAGGGAGAUUCCAAGAUGUGGGAAGUGUGCAGGAGGGCAUGGGAUAGAGGAUUGUGUAGUUUGAAAAGUUGUGUGCGUCAACUGUAGGGGUGUUGACACACACAACUGUAGGGGUGCCCAUGUUGCUGGGGAUCGGAAGUGUCCGAUGCGAGAGAGGCAAGUUAAGGUGGCUAGAGUCAGAGUAGUGCAGAAGGUGUUGUAUGCUGAGGCAGUGAAGAAAGUAGAAGAGGAUGGGUCAGGAUCCCUGUGAGUAGUACAUCUGUGCCAGCACAGAGGGAUAGGCCAACGAGUGAUCAAUCAAUCAAACAAAUGUAUUUAUAAAGCCCUUCUUACAUCAGCUGGGGCACAACGUACUGUACAGAAACCCAGCCUAAAACCCCAAAUAGCAAGCAAGUGAUUUAAGCUUCAGUAAUGUUGACUUCUUAGCGUUCAUAGCAAUGGUUAUCAACUGUACUGCAGAAAUGGAACGUAAAUCACAGAAAAUAGAUGUUGUGGUGGCAGCUACAGAGAAGUAUUUGGGUAUACGAGAUUUGACUUCAGAAGAGUUACAGGGUGUGUUGAGUGGUGGUGUCCCAGGCCAUUGGCAUGGUGCAAGAGUAGAUAGGAUCAAGUAGCGGAAUGAUGUAAUGAUUUUAAUGGGUAUAAGGUUAGUUUUAAGGGUGUGUUUUUGUAUAUAUAUAUAUAUAUAUAUAUAUAUAUUAUUUUAUUUGAAUUGUAUUUCGUAUUACAAAGAAUAAUGAAUUUAUAUGAUAGUCCAGUUGGGGGCGGUAAAGCAACAUUUUGGAUGCCAACCGCUGUUAAACUCCGAAGAAGAAGAAGGAGAAGGAUACACCAAAAGGAGGCUGUCGAGGAGGGGAGAACCAAAGAUUUUUAUAACUAAACCAAGAUAGACCACAGCCCGUUGUUUCAAACAUGAACAAAUGAGUCAGUUGUCAGAAGAAGCAAGGAAGUGGGCAGAGCCAAGUACGAGCUAGCAUUGCCGCGUUCUAGCAAAGCAUAUUUCUGUUAGAGAAGGCCUACUCUGUGAAGUGCGAGUGUGCAAUAACUCAAUUCGCUUUUGCACUCCUAAACAACCCCAUUAUUUUUUACUUUGGCAAAUGUUAAAUUCUACAAUAUGUUCGUAACAUAUUCUAGUUUUGGGAACAGAAAAUGUAUAUUGAGAUCAAAUGUUUAAUCGAUGAGAAAAUUAGCAGAAUGUCGGCCAAAAUCGAUCUCGCUUUAUCUUCUCUCACUGCCGGCCAGUGUCUUCCAUAUUUGUUAGUGAGUUGAAACGCCAAGCAGAUGCUUCACAUUUACAUAUUCGGUGAAAUAUCUGUCUCAUCUGACCGUCUCCAUUUGACAGAUUAUCCUUUGCUUAGCUAGCCAACAUCGCCAUGACAUCACUUACAAGUGUGGUCGCGGAUUUCUAUUGGAGAAUUAAUGCCUAUCUUCAUACUGUACUGUCUUUGACAGAGAGAGGACGGAGAACACACUUUUGACAAAAAAGGCCAAUGUGUUGGAAAGAGGACUAACUGACAGCUCAACUCUGCCCUCUAUUGUUUGGUUAAUGCGACCCUGCUGACACAUGAUCUCAUCAGCUGCAACAAAUAAUGAAACAAUGUUAUUCAUAGGGAACUUAUUUGCCUAAUUGCAGAUCUGCAAGGAGAUCAAUAAUGUGGCAAACAUACUGGUUGACUACAUACAGGAACGAGCAGGUAUGGUCACGUUUGUGGAGUUUGGGUAGAUGAUGACUUAUGAAGCCUACAACAAAACGUUAUGUUAUUUAUGUCCGUCAUCUAUAUACAUUUGUUUACAUUUCCCCUUUGAUUCCCACAGAGCAAUUCCUUAGUGAUGGUGACAUCAGCAUGAAUAUUUGUGUAACUUCUGCCCCUGUCAUCACAUCACAGUACAUUGAAUCAUAUCACAAGGUGCAUUGUAUACCCCUUCGUUAUUUUUGUUUAGCAUCUGUCUAUAUGGCAGAUGAUGAUGCACAACAUCAACUGUUAUUGUAUAUGUUAGGGUAUCUAUGUGCAGAGUUUUACCUGCUGUUCUGUCAUCAAUGCCUCUGUAUUCCACCCCAGCCAGCUGACAGAGGACCACAUGCUUUACUUCUGGAUCUCUGAUGAGGUCUUCAACCCCUUAAUUACAGCUGCCCACCAAGAUGGAUGUUUUGUCCUCAACAUCUCUGGCCUGGAGCUCACAGUAGGUGUCGACCUGACUAGUGGAAGUCACUCUAACAUGAUCCUGGGUGGCGCAGUUGGUAGAACAUGGCACUUGCCACGCCAGGGUUGUGGGUUUGAUUCCCACGGGGGACCGUUAUGAAAAUGUAUAUACUCACAACUGUAAGUUGUUCUGGAUAAGAGCGACUGCUACUGACUUUAAUGGAGAAAGGCAUCCUUUAAGUAAUCAGGAGUUGUUGUUGGGGGUUAUGUUAUAUGUUAGAGACAGGGCAACUCACUGUAAUGGCGUGAUGAAGCAGCAAAAGCAAUGUUUCCAUAAGAUGUCUACAAUUAUGAUGUGGCAAGUAAACACUAUCUUGGUGACUUCAAGCUGAUUUGUGUAUUUAAUUUGUGCUAUUAACAUGGUCAACUUAAUUACAGGAACUUUUCAAAGUGUAUUUGUCAACCGAAAUGCCAGAGUUCCUAAACCAGGUAAUGUGACAAACUCAGUCAGUACAAUCCUCAGACUCCUAUCAGCUCCACAGACCAUGUGACCUAUCUUGGCAUCUGCACUACUAUGACUAUGGAUCAAUGCACAUUUUGUGGUCUCUUUAUCUUACAUUUUGUUAUAAAUAAUCCUAGCAGAUUAAUGCAAUGUGUAUACAUAUGUGUGUAUACAGGUGAAUGUGUGUGUCUCUCUGAGCCUGUGUGACAUACUGUAUUUGUUUGUUAUCUCCUGUCAGCUACUGUCCUCUGAGGAGCCAUUUCUGAGUGUGUCAGUGCCUCAACUGUGGACGAUCCCACUGGGCAUCUCUGUUAGAGCUUUGGCUGCAGUGAAGCUGACCAGCUGAGGACAUCCCAGGACUUUACUUUGAGAUGGUCAGCCAACCAAACAUAUGUCAUUUUCAUGAUUUAAAUAACAUGGCACCAGACAACCUUUUCUCCCAGAUUAGUAGCUAAAUUAAGUUUGUCGCUGUAUCGGAGGUGGAGGUGGAGGUUGUUGUGAGAACUUCAUACUCUGAGAAGUAAUUGAUCCUAAACGCUACAGCGCCACAGUGAAUCUUAUUCCAUUUUCAUGCCUAUUCUGUGAGCAUGUACAUAGGCCUACAUGUCUGUAACUGUUAUUGUGAUGAAUUCACUGUGCCUCCAUAAUGGUUACAGUGACUAACGGUUCAGUUCUUGAUUGCAACCUUCCUGGUUGCAUGUUCACUAACAAGUACCACUGCUGUCGACAUCUGUGCAAGUAAAAAAAAGAAGACUGCUUCUUUCCACAAAAUAAUUUCCAUAAUGAAGGAAUCACUGUCCAAACACACACUGCAGGUGAGAAUUAAGUAGACUCAUUGAAUCACUAUCUAAGUGACAUGUAACGUUGGUAGAUUGCUUCCUUUCUUUUGCUCUCCAGAUGGUUGAAGCUCACAUUGAAUAUUUAAAAGGAGCAGUGGAAAAAUAGGUGUCCCAAAAGUAAUAUCUGGUGAGUUCUGUUUCAUCCUGUCCCGUUUAGUGAAUUGAGAUAUCCCACUGGGCAUACCAUGCAUUUUCAACAUGGGAGAAUUGGGUAAUAUUGAGCAGAUACAAUGAUCAAGGAGAUUCCAAACUAUUUUAACCCACUCAAAAAGACACUAUGCUUUCAACCAUCUAAAAGCACAACCAGAUUCCAAUGGAAAAUCAAUGUCUUGUUUGUGGUUUAGUUGUCACGUAAAUGUGUUAUCACUGUGCUUUAGAACAUUUAAACACACAACAAAGUUCAAAUUGGAAUGCAAUGUCAGAUAUUUGGUUUAUUUAUACAACAACUUUGUCACACCCUGACCUUAGAGAUCCUUAUUUAUUGUCUAUGUUUGGUUAGGUCAGGGUGUGACUCGGGUGGGAAAAUCUAUGUUUUCUAUUUCUUUGUUGUUUUUGCAGAGUGUGGUUCUCAAUCAGAGGCAGCUGUCUAUCGUUGGCUCUGAUUGGGGAUCAUAUAUAAAUUGGUAUUUUCCAUUUAUGUUGUGUGGGGUGUUAUUUUCUGUUUAGUGAACUGUUCGUUUUUGAGUUGUUGUUUUUGUUUGAGUGUUUUUUGAAAAUAAAUAUCAUGAACACUUUCCACGCUGCGCUUUGGACCACUCUUCCUUCAACCAACGAAAGGCGAUACAAACUUAAUAUGUUAUUACUCUACUUCAUCUAAUACCACAACCAAAUGACCUGGUUUGCAGUUGAGAUUACAUGAAAGUAUACGGUGCAAUUGAUCAAUGUCGUUUGAGAUUAUGUGCAGAUUAUUAUAGUAAUUGUGAAGAUUUCCACACACCUGGGACCCUGAACAUGCACACUUUCUAUGAUUACAUAAGACAUUUAUUGUUACACUAACCUCAAUGUGUUCAUGGAUGAGUUACUCAUUUUAAGGUUGAAUAAAUACUGUUACAUUACA